rnacentral:tmRNA from 1 species
GGGGGCGACACGGUUUCGACGGAAGCUGUCGCGGCCCGAAGGCAUGCCGGGACCCACCUGCCCGUAACUUGGUGGAAACUAGAAAUGCCAACAACAACUUGGCACUUGCUGCUUAAUUAAUUAAGCGCACGCUUCCCCGGGCUUUGCUCAUGGGCCCGGUCAGAGGCGUCACACAGUGAGCUGGCCUGAGCCUUUCGGUCCGUAAGGCUCGGGCGAGAACCAUCGGACUAGCCGGCUGCGUUUCUUGCUCAUUCUGAGCGUGGCGGGCGAAACAAAUGGAAUUGAGCUAAGCAUGUAGGCUUCGUGUCGUAGGGCUUUUCGGACGGGGGUUCGACUCCCCCCGCCUCCACCA